AGAGUUUGAUCCUGGCUCAGAACGAACGCUGGUGGCGUGUCUUAUACAUGCAAGUCGAGCGGUGCAGCAAUGCAUAGCGGCGAACGGGUGAGUAACACGUAAGCAAUCUGCCCCCUACUUGGGAAUAGCCGUGCCAACGCGCGGAUAAUACCGAAUAUCGUGGCGUCCCGCAUGGGACGUUGACGGAAGAUUUAUCGGUAGGGGAUGAGCUUGCGUCCGAUUAGCUAGUUGGCGGGGCAACGGCCCACCAAGGCGACGAUCGGUAGCCGGCCUGAGAGGGCGAUCGGCCACAUUGGGACUGAGAUACGGCCCAGACUCCUACGGGAGGCAGCAGUAGGGAAUAUUGCACAAUGGGGGGAACCCUGAUGCAGCAACGCCACGUGUGGGAAGAAGCAUUUCGGUGUGUAAACCACUGUCGUGAGGGAAUAAUGCUUGGCUCCAGCCAAGUUGAAUGUACCUCGAAAGGAAGCACCGGCAAACUUCGUGCCAGCAGCCGCGGUAAUACGAGGGGUGCAAGCGUUGUUCGGAAUCACUGGGCGUAAAGGGAGCGUAGGCGGAGACGCAAGCAGUCUGUACAAUACCGGGGCCCAACCCCGGACCUGCAGACUGGACUGUGUCUCUUGGAUAGUUCAGGGGCAGGCGGAAUUCCUGGUGUAGCGGUGGAAUGCGUAGAGAUCAGGAAGAACACCGAUGGCGAAGGCAGCCUGCUGGGGACUCAUCGACGCUGAGGCUCGAAAGUGCGGGUAGCAAACAGGAUUAGAUACCCUGGUAGUCCGCACCGUAAACGAUGCAUACUGGGGUGUCCGG
rnacentral:rRNA from 1 species